GAUGAACGCUGGCGGCGUGCCUAAUACAUGCAAGUCGAGCGAACGGACGAGAAGCUUGCUUUUCUGAUGUUAGCGGCGGACGGGUGAGUAACACGUGGACAACCUACCUAUAAGACUGGGAUAACUUCGGGAAACCGGAGCUAAUACCGGAUAAUAUUUUGAACCGCAUGGUUCAAAAGUGAAAGACGGUCUUGCUGUCACUUAUAGGUGGAUCCGCGCUGCAUUAGCUAGUUGGUAAGGUAACGGCUUACCAAGGCAACGAUGCAUAGCCGACCUGAGAGGGUGAUCGGCCACACUGGAACUGAGACACGGUCCAGACUCCUACGGGAGGCAGCAGUAGGGAAUCUUCCGCAAUGGGCGAAAGCCUGACGGAGCAACGCCGCGUGAGUGAUGAAGGUCUUCGGAUCGUAAAACUCUGUUAUUAGGGAAGAACAUAUGUGUAAGUAACUGUGCACAUCUUGACGGUACCUAAUCAGAAAGCCACGGCUAACUACGUGCCAGCAGCCGCGGUAAUACGUAGGUGGCAAGCGUUAUCCGGAAUUAUUGGGCGUAAAGCGCGCGUAGGCGGUUUUUUAAGUCUGAUGUGAAAGCCCACGGCUCAACCGUGGAGGGUCAUUGGAAACUGGAAAACUUGAGUGCAGAAGAGGAAAGUGGAAUUCCAUGUGUAGCGGUGAAAUGCGCAGAGAUGUGGAGGAACACCAGUGGCGAAGGCGACUUUCUGGUCUGUAACUGACGCUGAUGUGCGAAAGCGUGGGGAUCAAACAGGAUUAGAUACCCUGGUAGUCCACGCCGUAAACGAUGAGUGCUAAGUGUUAGGGGGUUUCCGCCCCUUAGUGCUGCAGCUAACGCAUUAAGCACUCCGCCUGGGGAGUACGACCGCAAGGUUGAAACUCAAAGGAAUUGACGGGGGCCCGCACAAGCGGUGGAGCAUGUGGUUUAAUUCGAAGCAACGCGAAGAACCUUACCAAAUCUUGACAUCCUUUGACAACUCUAGAGAUAGAGCCUUCCCCUUCGGGGGACAAAGUGACAGGUGGUGCAUGGUUGUCGUCAGCUCGUGUCGUGAGAUGUUGGGUUAAGUCCCGCAACGAGCGCAACCCUUAAGCUUAGUUGCCAUCAUUAAGUUGGGCACUCUAAGUUGACUGCCGGUGACAAACCGGAGGAAGGUGGGGAUGACGUCAAAUCAUCAUGCCCCUUAUGAUUUGGGCUACACACGUGCUACAAUGGACAAUACAAAGGGCAGCGAAACCGCGAGGUCAAGCAAAUCCCAUAAAGUUGUUCUCAGUUCGGAUUGUAGUCUGCAACUCGACUACAUGAAGCUGGAAUCGCUAGUAAUCGUAGAUCAGCAUGCUACGGUGAAUACGUUCCCGGGUCU
rnacentral:rRNA from 1 species